rnacentral:misc_RNA from 1 species
UUUCCGUAGGUGAACCUGCGGAAGGAUCAUUACCGAGUUAGGGUUGCCUUCUAGGUGCCCGACCUCCCAACCCUUUGUGUGAACCAAACUUGUUGCUUCGGGUGCGACCCUGCCGCUUCGGCGGUGCGGCGCCCCCGGAGGCCAUUAAACACUGCAUCAUUGCGUCGGAGUUAAAGUAAAUUAAACAAAACUUUCAACAACGGAUCUCUUGGUUCUGGCAUCGAUGAAGAACGCAGC